GCCGGUAUAGCUCAGUAGGUAGAGCGCCUCCUUUGUAACGAGGAUGUCGUGGGUUCAAUUCCUGCUGCCGGCACCA
rnacentral:tRNA from 1 species